GAUGAACGCUGGCGGCGUGCUUAACACAUGCAAGUCGAACGAGAAGUGAAGACGGAAACCUUCGGGCGGAAGGCUUUAUUUCGAGUGGCGGACGGGUGAGUAACGCGUGGGUAACCUGCCUCAUACAGGGGGAUAACAGUUGGAAACGACUGUUAAUACCGCAUAAGACCACAGCACCGCAUGGUGCGGGGGUAAAAACUCCGGUGGUAUGAGAUGGACCCGCGUUCGAUUAGCCAGUUGGCGGGGUAACGGCCCACCAAAGCGACGAUCGAUAGCCGAUCUGAGAGGAUGACCGGACACAUUGGGACUGAGACACGGCCCAAACUCCUACGGGAGGCAGCAGUGGGGAAUAUUGCACAAUGGGGGAAACCCUGAUGCAGCGACGCCGCGUGAGUGAAGAAGUAUUUCGGUAUGUAAAGCUCUAUCAGCAGGGAAGAAAAUGACGGUACCUGAGUAAGAAGCCCCGGCUAACUACGUG
rnacentral:rRNA from 1 species